GACGAACGCUGGCGGCGUGCUUAACACAUGCAAGUCGAACGGAAAGGCCCUGCUUUUGUGGGGUGCUCGAGUGGCGAACGGGUGAGUAACACGUGAGUAACCUGCCCUUGACUUUGGGAUAACUUCAGGAAACUGGGACUAAUACCGGAUAGGAGCUCCUGCUGCAUGGUGGGGGUUGGAAAGUUUCGGCGGUUGUGGAUAGACUCGCGGCUUAUCAGCUUGUUGGUGGGGUAGUGGCUUACCAAGGCUUUGACGGGUAGCCGGCCUGAGAGGGUGACCGGGCACCAUGCGACUGCGAUACGGCCCAGAAUCCUAUCGGAGGCAGUAGUCGGGAAUCUUGCACAAUGGGCGGAAGCGUGAUGCAGCAACCCUGCGUGCGGGAUGACGGCCUUCGGGUUGUAAACCGAUUUCGCCUUUGACGAAGAGUGAGUGACGGUACUGGGUAAAGAAGCAACGGCUAACUACGUG
rnacentral:rRNA from 1 species